CAAUAGCGUAUAUUAAAGUUGUUGCAGUUAAAAAGCUCGUAGUUGGAUUUCUGGUGGGAGCGAUCGGUCUGGCGCUUAGCGCGAGUACUUGCAUCGUCUCCGGCCAUCCUUGGGGAAAGUCUGUCUGGCAUUGAGUUGUCGGGCAGAGGAUCCUCAUCGUUUACUGUGAAAAAAUUAGAGUGUUCAAAGCAGGCUUAUGCCGUUGAAUAUAUUAGCAUGGAAUAAUAAGAUAGGACUUUGGUACUAUUUUGUUGGUUUGCGCACCAAAGUAAUGAUUAAUAGGGACAGUUGGGGGUAUUCGUAUUCCGUUGUCAGAGGUGAAAUUCUUGGAUUUACGGAAGACGAACUACUGCGAAAGCAUUUACCAAGGAUGUUUUCAUUAA
rnacentral:rRNA from 1 species